ACGGUAGCGAAAAACGCAUUUGUCGGUUGAGCUUUGGGUCCGCAUGUCAUUGAAAGGCACAGUAAUGAUCUUAUAUGCUCUAGCUGUAACCAAUAGCAUGGAGAUGUAAGGAAGGGUAGUGAAGAAGGUAUCAACGGGGUUAACCGUUAGCGAGCCGUAAAGGUGGAUGAAGUCAGAUGAAGAGAAAUGACGAAGGUGGAUUAAGUUAGAUGAAGGCGAAUGAAGGUGGUGAAUGAAGAUGGAUGAAAAUUGAUGAAGUCCAGAUUGAGGUGAAUGAAGUUAGAUGGAGACGAAUGAAGUUGGAUGAAGGUAAAUAACGUCAGAGUGACGGAUGAACUUAGACUAAAGGAAAUGAAGGUGGAUAAAGCUAGAUAAAGGUAAAUGAAGGUGAAUAAAGUUAAAUGAAGGUAAAUGAAGGUGGAGGAAGGUCAGUGACGUUAGACUAAGUUGAACAGCGACGUAAUAUGAAGUUGAAUGAAGCUAGAUGGCCGCAUGACCGUUAAUAAGGGUGAAGGAAGGUGAAGGAAGUUAGAUGAAGGAAUAUGAAGGUAGAUAAAGAUGGAUGGAAGGAAAUGAUGGUGGAUGAAGUUAAAUGAAGGUGUCGUGGCAUUCCUCACAUGGAGUAUGGUACAUUACAUGUCCCCAUACAUCACAUAUACCUACACCCCCCGAGGGGAGGGGCUCCUUUAUAAAAAGGACGGGGAUGCUUGUCGGAAGUUUUGAAAAGAACCCCUACGAGGUACCAAGACCCUACUUUGUGGGCGCGGCUUGAAAUUUUUUUCACUACCAAGCCGGGUACCAAUUCUAAAACAAAACAUCAUCUCCUCUCAUAUUUUUUCGGCUCAAUAACCUAAAAUGUACCGCAAAAGGUCCCACUGUGGAACUUUGGAGGCUGAAAACCCUAAGGGGUACCAAAACCGUUUUAUCAAGCCCUAAACGGUACAAAGAGCACCCCAUUCCUUUUUAUGUGGGAGCCCCCACGCCCGCGAUAUACCUACUCCGGUGACGGCCGAGCCGGAAAAACUGGGCACUAAUUUAUUCAAAAAUUGCAGCACGUGUAACAUUUGACCUUCGUGUAGCUAGGAUGAGAUGGAAGAGUCUCCGAGUCUAUCAUUAGGAAAGCGUUUGCGCUGGACGUAGCCGGUUCAUAGAAUGUUGGAGGGAUUCACAAGUUGCAGAAGAUCAAGAAGUAAGCUCGAGUUUGUGGAUGACUCAUGAUGUUGGAACAAGUCGCAAAAGAUCUGGAAAAAGCCUCUUUAAGUUGUCUUUAACUGCAGCAGGUACAAAGGCGAUGACAUGAAAUAGAAGAGUACACGUUAAGAGCAAGGCAGAGAAUUGUUGAAAUAAAACAUCUUGAAUAAUCUCAGCUCGUGUUAAUUUGAAAACAGAAAUCGGACAUGUCUUUCAGAGCAGUGGUUCUGUAAUUAGUCAAUUCGUCGCGAGAGAACUCGGAAAAAACUAGGUCUUUUGGCGGGAAAAUAUUUGCGCUUUUAAAAGAGACCCAAAAAAGUCGGAAAAAUACUAAGUCUUUUGGUGGGAAAAUAUUUACGGCCUUGAAAGGGUUCAAGAAAAACGUCGAG